rfam:Hepatitis C virus genotype 6 isolate ZS202 polyprotein gene, complete cds
CCAUUGCCAGCCGCGUCCAAGCUUGACUUGUCAAAUUGGUUCACGGCUGGCUACGGCGGGGGGGACAUAUAUCACAGCGUGUCCUGGGCCCGACCCCGCUUAUUACUCCUGUGCCUGCUCCUACUUACCGUAGGGGUAGGCAUCUUUCUGCUUCCCGCCCGGUAGGCGGUUAGCAUAA